UAUGAUGAGCACGAGACUAUCCGGCACGC
rnacentral:piRNA from 1 species